GGAGUGCUGCAUUGUUUGAAGUGUUGGUUUUCAGACUGGCUUUUUCAAGAUGCUUCAGGACAUUAUCUGUAUCUAACUUGUACCCUAUUUGGCAGGGUUAACAAAUACAUCUCAUCUCCUGCGACACUAGCAAUCAAAAUAAAAGAGUUCUUGCGUUUCAGAAUAUCGGUGGUUGAAACAUAAAGAUACCAGAGGACUAUCCACUAACAUUAUCAACAGCAAUGGUUUUUUCUUGGUAAUGAUUGUCACAUUGUUAUAACCAGCUCUUGCCCACAUUUGCCAAAGACCACAGAACAUUCUGGAAGUUCCAGUGCAAGGUGGAGGAUCAAACACACCACAACCUGGAAGCCAUCCUUUCAGUGAAGACUCAAUGAAGACUCGACCUGGCCCAGCAGCAGAGUUCCAUGCGCCUGGAAAGAGAAAGAGAGAAGAAAAGAAUGAUCCUAACAACUGCAUGAUUCACCUUCAUGGAAGAGAGCCUGCCCUAUGUCAGAGGAAAAGGAGAUUCCAAAGGCCCAGCUCAAACAUGUGGAUUGUUGUGGGUAAUAUACUUUGUCAGGUGGAUAGUGCUAGAUAAGGAACAAAUAUUGUGGGAAUUUGGGAAAUGCUCACAUGGCGUUUCCUACAAGAAACGCACGGGGCGGCACGG